ensembl:lncRNA
CCAAGAUCCGAACCCACAAACCCAGACCACUACAGCAGAGCAUGCAGGACUUUAACCACUUGGUGACGAAGCCAGGCCGAAUUUUUUGUUUUUUUUUUUUUACUUUACGACUAUGCAUAGACCACAGGCUGAUAAAUUUCUCCUUCAUUCUCUUUGAAUGGGGCAAUUCCCACUCAGCUGGCUAUUUUCCCCAGAAUAGUAUAGGAGGAAUAUUUUUGACUGUCUUCCUUAUUAACUCAAAAAGUCCCUUCAGCCUCCUCCCUUAGGAAUUGAGUGAAAAGUUGGAUGUUGGAUGAAGAAUUUAUCUGAGAGGAAAUUUCUGGGGCUUGGGGAAUAUUCGACUGUGGAAUUCUGUUUCUGAGUUUCUCCGUGAACGCAGGAACAUCUUCAUUGUUUUUUAGUGUAUGCUUUAUGCUUUCAAGUUUGGGGAAUGUCCACGUCUUGGAUUUCAGCACAUAGUCACUUGUCAGUUGCCCACUUUGGUGAGAAGAUGAGUAGCAAUGAAUCAUCUCCUUCUUCUUUUUGGUGGAUAGCUGUAUAAUUUCUCCUGAAUUGGGCCUAUUGCUGAAAAGUCAGCUCACGUCCGUAUAUCAUCUCUCCUGUUUGGAAGCUGGACCAGAGAAGACAAUGGUUUCCCCUGUGCCAUCCAACUUCCCCACUCACCAUCUUGUUUCGGGGACCAUCCUGUGAAGGCACAGCAUAAACCUCGAAGAGGGAUGUUUCAAGCAUUAGUCAGGGAGCAAGGAUGACUCUGUGGCCCUUCAAGGUGUCUGUGAAACCAAGGCAAUGAGAAAGUAUGUGCGGGAGACAUCUGCAUGGGCACACCCCAAUAACCUGGAAAUAAGGGAAAUAUGAUUGCCUUCUGGCACUUAUACUGUGAAGUCAACACAAAAUGGGUCAUAGCAGAGUCCUGCAGAGCCGCCUUAAGGAAGUGAAAUGCCUUCCAGGUUUUGUCUGGGUGGCCAAAGGAACCAAGAGGAUUAUCUGUACUCUGAAGUCACACUUUUCCCAAAUAUCCCAUGGUAAGGACUUAUUCUGCAGUUACCUCCACUGUCUGCCGGCUUGCCUGUAAAAAGGAGGAGAAAUUGCAGAAAAGCAUGAACAGGCUGGAGGCAGCAGAGAGGAGUAGAAAUAACAGGGGCCUGAACAACGGAAGUUUUGGGUUCUCAGUCUGAUGAUAUGCUCACUGUCACCCCAAACUACCACAUCUUCGAGUCGUUGCUCCAUGUAGAGUGCUCCUCUCCCUGAAAGCGUAGACGAGAGACAUGGAGUAAAGUGUGGGCUCUGGAGCCACUGCCAGGACUGGAAGCCUCGUUCUACCCCUUUCUAGCUGUGUGAUCAUGGGAACAUUAGAAAACCGCUCCUUGCUCCUAUUCCCUAACCUGUAAAAGAUAACCAUAAUUAAACAUACCUUCCUGGUACGUUGUGAGGACUUAAUGCACAAAUUCAUAUAAAGUUCUUUGAAGAGUACCUGCAUUAUGACAAUGCUCAAAAAUGUUAGCAUUUAUUAUAAUUAGACCCCUCCUCCAUUCCAAAAUGCCCCUCAUUGCACGCUUAGCGAGCUCCUACUAAUCCUUCAAGUUUCUGCUUAAAUGUUUCCUCCUCUAAGAAGCCUUCCACAGCCAUCCCUUCCUCUCCCUAAACAGGGUUGAUACUUCCCCUUCUCUGAGGCUGUGCUAGGCACUGUUAAUACAGAGUUGCCUAAGAGUUAGCCACUGUCCCCACAUUGCACACAGUCUAGGAAGACAUGACAAGCUCUGUAAUAAGGUAGCACUCAGCACCAAGGAGGUUUCCUGCUCAGAGGUCGGUCAUUUCUCAAACUGUAUAAAACCCAAGGGCAACCUCUGAGACUGUAUUAGCUGUGUCUAGUUUUUCCUCUCUUUUCUUUUUCUCCACUUUGGUUCAUUCCCCAAACUUUCAUUUUACUUUCCAGUCUCCCUUCCUUUUUUCUCUUACCCUUCUUUCCUGUCUCUUGGGUUUUAUUCUCUCCUUUUCUCUCACUGGAUCUGCACUGCUUGUGGAAGAAGGAGAGCGCCUGGGGCAGUCUUCCUAGAAGAGAUAGUACACAAACUGAUCCUCAAGGCAGAGGGAGAUUUAGAUAAGGAACCGAGGAGUAAGGGGCACAGAUGGAGCAGGAAGGAACAGGCAGAAGGAACAUCAAAUGUGAGGUGUCUGAGAAGAAGGCAUGAAGGAAAGCACGUGCAACGAUGGUAUUUACUGAAAAAUGCAUGAAUUUCAGGCAACUCUGGGAUGUCCCAAGGUGAAGUGGGAUUGAUGAGAGAGGGGGUAAUUCGGGCAUUCCACAAUACGAUUGGAUUGUAUUCUCUAUGGGAUGGGUUCUAAAUUGAGAUUCUAAGGAAGAAGUUGACAUGAUUCUCUUUUCACGUUAGAAAGAUCACUGUGUGUAGGAUGGAUUGAAGGAGACUAGCUUGAUUCAGGCCAUGAAGUUAUGCUACUGAAACCAUCUGAGCAAGAGGUGCUGAUACGUCGAGGAUGUUGGCAAGAUGGUGCAGUGGUUAAGCAUGUAAGCUCUGCUUGUUCCCUGGGUUCUGCCAUUCAUAGAUGCCAAGCAAAGAGGUGACUGUCAAUGUCUCACACUCCCCACCAAACUUCUUAACACUUGAAAAAUGGGCUUUUGUUUCAGGUGGUCAACUCCUUACCAUAAAGAAACAAAGAAUCAGAGAUCUGCACAAUAGUUUACCAUCUGAGUUCAUAGAUACUCACCCCAGGGAAGAGUUAGUUGAAAAUGUCCUUGCUCCCCAGGCAUUUGCUAGGGAAAGAGGUGGGGGAGCAUUCGACAGCUGAGUGUUCGGCUAUAACUCAGAGACUGUCUGCGUGAAACGUGGAUUGGUUACCUUGAGACUGGACCAGUCUCUAAACAGAAUUUCACUACAUUAAAAGAGCAAUGCAUUUGCCUGUGAAAGUCUAGACUAGAAAAUGACUCUCUGUGGCCAUGGCAUCAAAAAUACUAGAGAAAGAAAGGAAUAAAUGCUUUCUGAUGGAUUCAACACCU